rnacentral:lncRNA from 10 species
GUGCGACCGGCUGAGCUCUGGGGCCACGGUGGGGUGUGUCCAGCCCUGGGGUCCCCACCCCCUUGAGGUUAUGAGCGCCCAUAGGGAAGAUGUUGCCACUGUACGCAGUUGGGAGAAGAAGGACCUGGCACAUGAGGAAGCCAAGUAGUUGGAUCAGCCCUGUAAGCUCCUGGCACUGACUGCCCUGCAGGGGCGACAACCCCGUGCACCCACACUGGGGCCCUCACGAGGCUCCAAGAAAAUGGCUCAAGGGAGCAGACAGGGUGGUUUGACCCCAGAGUUAAGAACACAGGUUCAGCCAAUUUACUUGACCCUGAGCUGGUGUGACCCACUUCUUAGGGCCUCAGAUCCUCAGUUGUAAAAUGGGCAUACCGCUGGCCCUGGCCCUCACUGGGGUGGCAGGGGGCAUCCGGUGAUUCACUCCAUGACAAGAGCCUUGCUCAUAAACAGAGGCUAUUAGAGAGCCACAGACACCCUGACCCCCAGAGGCCCAGAAAGGCUGGAUUCACACUCAGAAGUGAGGCCUUCCCUGGGUGACCCACACACAGCAGGGUCUG